UUUUUGUGGAUUAUACUCUUUCUUCAAUUGAUUAGUUGUUGCUCUUGUUGCUAUUGUUGCUCUGUAUUUGGUACUUAUUGUGGAGCCAAUUAGAGAAAUUUUGUAACUCUCUUAUUGAUUCAUUAAGAAUAGAGCCCUGUGUCAUAUAUAAAUAACCAGACUUGACUCUUCGAGCCACUACUAACGAGCCCUUGGUGAGCUUCCAUUGGCCAUUAAAGAG
rnacentral:lncRNA from 1 species